AGGCGGGUAAGUUAAGUUAAACUAUGGGGUUCAUGUCCCCACAAUAUGGUUUCAUCCCGCUGA
rnacentral:tRNA from 4 species